ensembl:lncRNA
CCUCACGCCUGAACGCUGGCUCUACUCUGAACACCUGAUUGUCAACAGAGUGGAAAUGUCGGCGGUUCGCAGGGAAGAAGCGCUCCCACAGAUGGAGACCGAAGGGAGAACUUCCCCUGUGUCGACCAGGAACCGGCCCCGAUGAGCCACGAGAGGGUGUCGCUGCACCGCUUCAUCCGCACAGGGUCGCUUCCGGUUUCCGGUGGACUCCUCCCCCCCGCCCCGCCCCGCCCCCGCAGGGGUUAAAGUGGUUCUCGUUACAUUUAACAAGCCACAGCGUUCAUGUGGCUGCAGAGACUCUUCAGGGUGGAGCCCGGAUGCAUCAGUUAAGGAAGUGAUAUUGAAAAGUGAUGAAUAUUAUUUAAUGCAGGUCACAAGUCGCAGAAAACCCUCACAAAUCAACCCCC